rnacentral:lncRNA from 1 species
AUCUGAUGAGUCAAAGAAAACACUAUUACACAAAGUCAAAAGUAAUACUUUAUUAUAACAAUAGAAUUAUUUAUACAAUAGUGAGUGCAACUAUAUUUAAGAUUAUAAAAUCUACUGUGCAUCAAGCAGUUUAUCCCAUUGACCUUACAAUAUACAAUAAUGCAAGAAGCAAUGUGUCUUAUUACAAAAUAGGGUUUCCCAAAGCAGUUUUAAAAUUCAGCUGAUUAUCAAUGACCUAUAUGCUGUUAAUAAUUACAGUAAUUUGGCAGUUUGAUUGCUUGAAUUAAAAACAAAAGGUCUAGGACUCAACAGAAAGAAAUAUAUCUUAACAUCAAAUAUUAAAGAUAGUUUGAAGCAUUCAUACAAUUGAA